AGGGCAGACGGUGGAUGCCUUGGCUCUCGGAGGCGACGAAGGACGUGAUAAGCUGCGAAAAGCCCGGGGGAGGCGCAAAUAGCCGUUGAUCCCGGGAUAUCCGAAUGGGGCAACCCGGCAGGCUGAAGGCCUGUCAUCCCGAAAGGGAGGCGAACGUGGGGAACUGAAACAUCUAAGUACCCAUAGGAGGAGAAAAUAAACAAUGAUUCCGUAAGUAGUGGCGAGCGAACACGGAAGAGCCCAAACCCAUGUCGUCUAGGCGACACGGGGGUUGUAGGACCACGACGUGGCAAGAAGGAAGGGAAAUGGAACGCCUUGGAAAAGUCGGCCAUAGACGGUGAAAGCCCGGUACAUGACUCCCUUACGAAGCCUAGUGGUAUCCUGAGUAGCGCGGGGCACGAGAAAUCUUGCGUGAAGCAGCGGGGCCCAUCCCGUAAGGCUAAAUACUCCCGAGAGACCGAUAGCGAACCAGUACCGUGAGGGAAAGGUGAAAAGAACCCCGAGCAGGGGAGUGAAAUAGACCCUGAACCCGUCUGCCUACAAGCGGUCGGAGCGUCGUAAUGACGUGACGGCGUGCCUUUUGCAUAAUGAACCUACGAGUUACCUUCCCCGGCAAGGUUAAGUUCUUGAGGAACGGAGCCGAAGCGAAAGCGAGUCUGAACAGGGCGCCAAGUCGGGGGGGGUAGACGCGAAACCGAGUGAUCUACCCUUGGCCAGGUUGAAGGUUGGGUAACACCAACUGGAGGACCGGAUGGGUAAGCGUUGAAAAGCUUUCCAAUGAGCUGAGGGUAGGGGUGAAAGGCUAAUCAAACUCGGAGAUAGCUCGUACUCCCCGAAAUGCAUUUAGGUGCAGCCUUUAUUUAGUAUAGCAUGAGGUAGAGCGACUGAUUGGAUGCGAGGGCUUCACCGCCUAUCAAGUCCAGAUAAACUCCGAAUGCGCGAUAUAUAUUUACAGGGAGUGAGGGCGCGGGUGCUAAGGUCCGUGUCCGAGAGGAGAAGAAUCCAGACCACCGGCUAAGGCCCCCAAAUGAUCGUUAAGUUGAACUAACGAGGUCGGAUCGCAGAGACAGCUAGGAUGUUGGCUUGGAAGCAGCCAUUCAUUUAAAGAGUGCGUAACAGCUCACUAGUCGAGCGAUCUGGCGUGGAUAAUAAUCGGGCAUAAACGAUCUGCCGAAGCCGUGGAUGUCGCAAGACAUGGUAGGGGAGCAUUCCAUGCCGCGUCGAAGAUGAGGGAUGACCCUUGUUGGAGCGCAUGGAAAAGCAAAUGUAGGUAUGAGUAACGAUAAGGGGGGCGAGAAACCCCCCCGCCGAAAGACCAAGGUUUCCUGAUCAACGCUAAUCGGAUCAGGGUGAGUCGGGACCUAAGGCAAAGCCGAACGGCGCCGCCGAUGGAAGAAUGGGUUAAUAUUCCCAUACUGCCUCAUGGAGUGACGUGGAGACGGAGAAGUGACAGUCCUGCCGGCUGACGGAAUAGCCGGUUGAAGGGUGUAGAUAUUGAUUCCCGUAGGCAAAUCCGCGGGGAGAGUCGAACCUGAGAGUAUACGGAGCGCUUGCGCAACGUAAUAUGGACGUAACCAUGCUCCCGAGAAAAUCCGCUAAACUUAUCCAUGCGGCACCCGUACCGUAAACGGACACACGUGGUCGGGUUGAGAAUACUGAGGCGCUCGAGUGAUUCACGGUUAAGGAACUAGGCAAAUUGACCCUGUAACUUCGGGAUAAAGGGUCCUCGUCGUAAGGCGAGGCGCAGAGAAUAGGUCCAGGCAACUGUUUAACAAAAACACAUGGCUGUGCUAAAUGGAAACAUGAUGUAUACAGCCUGACACCUGCCCGGUGCUGGAAGGUUAAGAGGAGAUGUCAUCGCAAGAGAAGCGUUGAAUUGAAGCCCCAGUAAACGGCGGCCGUAACUAUAACGGUCCUAAGGUAGCGAAAUUCCUUGUCGGGUAAGUUCCGACCUGCACGAAUGGUGUAAUGAUCUGGACACUGUCUCAACCGUGAGCUCGGUGAAAUUGUAGUAUCGGUGAAGAUGCCGAUUACCCGCGAUGGGACGAAAAGACCCCGUGAACCUUUACUAUAGCUUUACAUUGAAUUUGGGCAGACGAUGUGUAGGAUAGGCCGGAGGCUUUGAAGGGGGUACGCCAGUAUCCUUGGAGCCGCCGUUGAAAUACGGCCCUUCGGUUGUUUGAGUUCUAACUCCUAGUUAGGAGGACACUGUAUGGUGGGUAGUUUGACUGGGGUGGUCGCCUCCAAAAGCGUAACGGAGGCUUCUAAAGGUGCCCUCAGACCGAUUGGUAACCGGUCGCAGAGUGUAAUGGCAUAAGGGCGCUUGACUGGGAGACAUACAAGUCGAUCAGGUAGGAAACUAGAGCAUAGUGAUCCGGUGGUUCCGCAUGG
rnacentral:rRNA from 1 species